rnacentral:rRNA from 1 species
ACGGGGUGCAGCAGGCGCGAAACCUUUACAAUGCACGCAAGUGUGAUAAGGGGAUCCCAAGUGCUCAAGCAUUGCUUGGGCUUUUGCCAAGUGUAGAUAGCUUGGCGAAUAAGUGGUGGGAAAGACCGGUGCCAGCCGCCGCGGUAACACCGGCGCCACGAGUGGCAAUCGCGUUUAUUGGGCCUAAAGCGUCCGUAGCAGGAUUCGUAAAUCUCUUGUGAAAUUGCCAGGCCUAACUUGGCAACGUGCAGGAGACACUGCGAGUCUUGGGACCGGGAAGGGUAAGAGGUAUUCCUGAGGGAGCGGUAAAAUGCUAUAAUCUCAGGAGGACCGCCUGUGGCGAAGGCGUCUUACUAGAACGGAUCCGACUGUGAGGGACGAAAGCCAGGGGAGCAAACCGGAUUAGAUACCCGAGUAGUCCUGGCCGUAAACGCUGUGAGCUAGGUGUCGCGUAUUCUACGGGAAUGCGCGGUGUCGAAAGGAAGCUAAUAAGCUCACCGCCUGGGAAGUACGGUCGCAAGACUGAAACUUUAAGGAAUUGGCGGGGGAGCACACA